AUCAGUAACUUUGCCCUUAUAGCCGCUCUCAUUCAAGAAUCUCAGGGUAGUUUCAGCAUUACUCUGCUAAGCUGGCUGAAGGGGCAUCAGAAAAAAGUAUCGGAAACAGAACCCUCUGCCCAGCUAGGGAGAAGUUUGGAUGUGAUCCAGGGCUACUUUGCUUCAGAUUGUUUAUAAUUUAAAAUUCCUGAUACCUCCUGAAGGCAAGAUUUGUGUACAACAGAGCUGCACUGGUAGGGAGCUACGUAAUACCUUCCUUGGCAGCAUUAGGACUGCUGUUGUUUUCAAUGUAUGAAACAAGACAUCCUGUUCCCAACACAAUUUUUACUUUUGAUCUUUCAUAGGGCUAAACUCUGGAAAACUCAGGGAAAACACAGACAGUAAGACUGACAUUCUCUUCAAAGAGAUCAGAAUUAGGAAUAAAGACAGGAAUAGCCUUUUUCAGCUCCAGUUUUUUUGAGAAAUUCAGGAUGUUGUCCUAAAUUUCAGCUUAGUCUCUGCUUGGCAUCAUUCUAGCUCCUGGGAUGCUACAUGAGCUACCCCUGUGCUUCCAACAAAGCCUUCAUCUCAGCUGAGCUAAAGGAAAGCGACAUAGAACAGCGAGUACAUCGAUCGUGGUCCUCCAGCAGAUUGCUGCUCUUCCAUUAACCAUCUCCUUGUGCCAGCACAGAGUACUGGAGCAGCACAGCCUGUAUUUUACUCUAAUUUUGUUUUAUUAUUUAUUUAUUUUCCUAGGACUGCCUCUUGUGCUGCUGUCAGUAUAACCACAGCUGUUCUCAUUCUGAAACAUUCAACAAAGUCCCGGGUGUUUCUUAUGUGGAGAUGCUAAUCAAGCAGCCUGAGGAGCUCCGGAGGUGGGGAGGUGCUGCCUGUGGUCAGCUCUGCGCUGUGCUGCUCUGCUCUCUGGGAGGUGAGUGGCUGCUGCUCGUUCUGCUCUGCUUCUUGCUUUGGGUUUUCCUGUCCUCUGGGGGAGAAGAAUCUCAAACUUUUAGGUUAUCUUUGACUCCUGAGAACUGUUUUUUUUUUUCCUUGUGGGUUUCAAGACUGUUGCCAUGGCUGUGUGAUUUAUUGAUGGACAGAGAAACCAUAGGGUAUCAAAAAAGAACUUUGUGUUGGUUUAAGUAUUGAAUCCUUCCAAUCUGAGGAGCAGUUCCACAGUCCAAAUAACCCAUGGCAAUACAGAGCAGAAGAGAGAAAAUGGAAGUAGGAAGCUGUCGUCUGUGUUGGAAACCUUCCAUGCAGGAGCUUUCAGAGAUCUUGUGUCUCUACAAAUUCUGAGAGCUGGGGAAGAUGUAAUGAAAUAUCAGACUUAAUUUCUCUCCUAUCCUGCAGUUCCUUACUUUCAAGCUCCUCUUCCAAGCUGAGAGCAUCCUAAAUUUCUAGACACAAUUGUAGCUCUUAUAUGAAAUUACUUAUCAUGGUGAUUGCUGCCCAGUAGCAUCAUUCCCAUUUGAAAUUCACUGGUCUUAAAGAAAUGAAUUACACUAUAAUAACUUCAUUCUUUUUCUAAAGGCACACGAGUUCUUGUCAAGCCGCAUUGUAAAGCGAAACCUUCAGGACAGUUUGACUCAGUUAUUUUUCCUUCCUUAAUACGUGCCUCCCUGCAUCAAUGGGCCUUGUUGUCAGGGAUUCAAUCCUUAGUUUUUCAAACAGCCCAACAAAAAAAAGAAAAGAAAAGGAUUUUUCUUUUCUAAUUUUCUAAUUUUCUAAUUUUUAGGAGCAUUUUUGUCUUUGUCUGUUCGGUGCUUCCAGUACAAUGUGCAGUUCAGUGCUCACAAUGGCUCUUGAGCACUCUCCCCACUGAUUCACAGCGAAUUUUGCAUUUAGAAGUUCUUCUAAUCUCUUAAUUUGGUUGGAGGAGGUAUGGGAUUCUUUGCACUCCCACUUGUAAGUCGUGCUGGAGGGCUGUAGGGAAGCACAGAUGCUUACUUCUUAUUCCUUCACUCGUUCACAAGCCACUGAUAUCGAAUACUGGCAUGCUGGGCAGAGAAACAAAACCAAAAUUUUUCUGCUCUGCUGAUCACCAGUAAUUUACAAUACUGCUAAGAAUGUCCAAAAAAUGUUACUAGGAAUUUACACUGAACUUCCUGAGAGGUUUUGAGGAGCAAAGUGACUUUUUGGGGAAGGCUUGAAUUGAGGGAGGUGGAGGACAGCAAGUCCAAACUGUAGAUGUGGUGGUUGAUGGGUCCUUGCUGCUCAACCCAACACCACUAGGUCUGGAGGAUGGCUCCCGUCAGUGCCAAGGCACGUACAAGAGGUGUAACUUGUUUUUGUGACGGUGUUAGGUAGUAUAAAGUUGUUGGCAAUGCACCAGCUGGGUAGCAAGGAGAAAAUCCAUCCUGCAGCUCCUUAGAAAAAGGGCAGUUUCCCAAGUGGGCUUCGAGAGACUGCUUUCAUGGAUGUGCAGCUGACACAGCUGAGAGUUGGACCUAAUGUAAGCUGUGUGGCUCCCUCCUCCCCACAAAACAAAGGAGAAAAAGGCAGCAGGAUCCCUGAAAGCAACAACAAGAAGUUUGGAUGUUGGACAGAGAAGGCAGCAGCUGUGUAAUUUUGCAUAACAAAGCAAUUCUAGGAGGUUUUUGCUCAUUCUUGUAUCGUAGCACAUCUUUUUGUGCUGCUGCUGUAGCUACAAUUUGGCUGCACUCUGAAAUGGAUCAGCAGGAGGUGGGGUCAUUAAAAAAUCUUUAAUGAGGCACAGCAGUGGCAUUCAUCCAGACCCCUCCAUAAGGAGAUGUACAGGUCCAGCCUGAGAGGUCGAGCCUCUUGCAGCCACCUCCAAGUGCCAGCAGCCAGGUGUGCACACAGCUCUGCAGGGACAAGCGUGAGGUGCAGGCAUGCUGCUGGGCUGCUUCCAGCCAACAGGCCCUUGCUGGUACCUGGUUUCAGAGCACCAAAGUGAACUAUGCUGCUUGCCAGUCGAGCCAUUUGGAGCACAAACAGCUAUUUUGGGGUAGGACUCAGCCUGCUGAUGAUGCCAUUAUCAACAUUUUACACUUUUUGCCUUAUGCAGUGUAUGGUGCCUCUAUCCCUGCUUUUGGAGAUAUGGGGAUCGUAGAUCAUUCAGGAACAUGAUUUGAGCAUCUGAAUUUGCCCUUGCAAGUAAUAGUGUGGAUUUUGUUCUUGAUAGCUUGGAAUGUUAGUGAGCACAAUGGAUGUGAUAGUAAAGUUAAGGAAAGAAAGCAAUGCACUGGGCAAUUCUGGAUUCGUUGUGAUUAUUGUAGGAGAAAUGAAUGAAAUGCAGAUGAAAAUAAGACACUGCGGACAAGGCUUUUUUUCUGUAAUAUGAAUGCAAAUUAAUAUCAGUGGGAACAAUCACUGAUGUUUCAAAAAUUAACCCCAGAAACACAAAUAUUUCAAGAAAGAGAGAAAUAAAGAAUCUCAGAGUAAAAGCCAUUGGAAGAUGCUGGGAGUAUUAGAAGGACUAAAGGAUGCCAGUGGGAGAUGUUUGGGCUGAAGAGAUGUAGGAGGAUCUGUAAAGCAGAUGGGCAGCAGUUGGAUCAGGCUGAGCUGAGCUGCCUCCAGGGAGCCCUCAGAAGCAUUUCAGAGCUUCUCACUCGCACUUCCUUUCAAUUUCUGUCUUCUGCAUCACUUAGUAAAGGAAUUUGGUGUUUUUUUUUUCUUUUGAAUAUUUGUAGCUCUUAGUAAAAUCAAGCAGGCUUUCCAUUAUUUCAGAAACUUGAAAGCAGUUUUUAAUCUAGUGCAGCUUCAGAUCUACAGGGGGCAGCAAACCGCGAUGCACAUGGACUGACACCGCACGUCAACUCCUCGGGCUGUGCUGCGGUCUCACUGAGUCCAGCAGUCACUCUGAGUGUGGGAGCAUGAAAAGAGAAGAGGGAGAACAGAACUGCAUUUGGUUUCAUUGAAAUUCGGAGCUGACAGAA
rnacentral:lncRNA from 1 species